rnacentral:rRNA from 1 species
AGUGAACGCUGGCGGUAGGCCUAACACAUGCAAGUCGAACGGCAGCACAGUAAGAGCUUGCUCUUACGGGUGGCGAGUGGCGGACGGGUGAGGAAUACAUCGCAAUCUACUUUUUCGUGGGGGAUAACGUAGGGAAACUUACGCUACUACCGCAUACGACCUACGGGUGGAAGCAGGGGAUCUUCGGACCUUGCGCGAUUGAAUGAGCCGAUGUCGGAUUAGCUAGUUGGCGUGGUAACGGCCCACCAAGGCGACGAUCCGUAGCUGGUCUGAGAGGAUGAUCGGCCACACUGGAACUGAGACACGGUCCAGACUCCUACGGGAGGCAGCAGUGGGGAAUAUUGGACAAUGGGCGCAAGCCUGAUGCAGCAACACCGCGUGAGUGAAGAAGGCCUUCGGGUCGUAAAACUCUUUUGUUGGGAAAGAAAAAAAGCAGGUGUAUACCUGGCUGUCUUGACGGUACCCAAAGAAUAAGCACCGGCUAACUUCGUG